AACGCGAAGAACCUUACCAACCCUUGACAUGGCAGUGCCCUUUCCAUAGAUGGUCCUUUCUUGCCAGAGACGUUGCACACAGGUGUUGCAUGGCUGUUGUCAGCUCGUGUCGUGAGAUGCUCGCCUAAGUCCGACAACGAGCCCAACUCAGGUGGGCAGUUUCCAGCAUUCAGUUGGGCACUCUAAAGAAAAGGCCGGUGAUAAGCCGGAGGAAGGUGGGGAUGACGUCAAGUCCUCAUGGCCCUUACGGGUUGGGGUACACACGUGCUACAAUGGUAGUGACAGGGGGUUAAUCCCAAAAAGCCAUCUCAGUUCGGAUUGUAGUCUGCAACUCGCGGCAUGAAGUGGAAUCGCUAGUAAUCGCGAUCAGCA
rnacentral:rRNA from 1 species